GGACGGUUAGCUCAGUGGUAGAGCACCUGACUUUUAAUCAGGGUGUCCUGGGUUCGACCCCCAGACCGUUCA
rnacentral:tRNA from 1 species